GACUCCUGUCAUUAGGUGGUGUCACGAGCGCUUUUACCUGUCUGGAGGGGAAUCUACUGAGAAGAGAGAAGUACUGAAGGCAGACUUUUUGAAACCUGAACAAUUUGGUGUGAUUGAGUCAAGAGAAACUGAGUAUGAAAUCACCAGCUUUCAAGGAUCUGUUAAUCUGGACUGCUGCUGAUGGAUGGAGAGCAUCCUGUCGUCAUGGAAACAGUUUAAUUUGUCCAGCAUCUGGAUUGGAUUCGGAUUCUGUGGCCAAUCCCGAGCCGGACCGAGGGAGGACCUGCGCCCGCUCUGCGCGACCUGUGGCCUUCACCCAGAUCAAACACUGAUGCUCUUUGGCUGAUUUCCCACCGAUAAUGACAACUUUAUGCUUUUGCGUGAGAAUAGAGUGAUGUAAAUCCAAUCAUGUGCCUGCUAACGUCUAGGAAAUCUUCUUUAUACACAUUUAGCUCAGUUAGAGGAGAUUUCUGUCUUCUACAGUGCAGUAUAUUCUACACUCAUCUCUUCUAUAUUUAUAACGCUCUAUUUAGCGAUUCUGAUACUUAUUUCCAAAACCAGUGGUUCUCAACUGGUCACGAUCCAUAAAUGUAUUGUACAUAUGUUUUUUAAGUCAUGGACGGUGAGGAAAACAAUGCUUGAUGCAGGUAAUGAAAUGCACACAAUCCAGUAUAGACAGAUUGUAUGUGAUGCUCUCAACGAUGAAUAAAAAUAUACA